GUCUCGCGGACCCCGCCCUUCCCUGCGGGGGGGCCCCGGCGCACGCUAACCCUGGCCGCGCCGCCGGGGGUGGGGGGCGCCUGGCCUCCGACGUGCCCGCCCAUGCUGCGCUGGGGGUUCCCGCAGGCCCCGCCUCCCCCCACCCCGGCUCCCGGGCGUAGAGCCCUGGGGGGGGCCGAGGUGUGCCCCCUACAUCGGGGCCAGGUGUGGACCGCACCUUCUCUCUCCUCCCCGCCCCCACUCCCCCACUGCCCUGUAUCUGGGGCUCACGGAACAGCCGCGCUGUGCCCGCUCCUAGGCCUCGGGAGGGCUCCUCGAGGCUGUCCCAGCUCACGCCCGGCCAUUCCCAGACCUCUUGGCUGUACAGAGACCCGCCGCCUCCCCAGGUGGCUCUGCCCCCUGGUCCCCCACUGCCAGGAGCAGGAGGGGAGGGGGUGCAGGUCCCAGGACAGGCUCUCAAGUCCCUGGAGCUCUUUGCUGUGCCCGCCCUGCCUCCCUGUCACAGACAAGUCACCUUUUGGCCAGAAUACUGCAGCCGACAGCUGGCUCCAGGCCGCAUCGUGGCCUCUAACGCCGCCCUGCUUGCCUGCUCUGAGCUCAGGGCCGGGGCAGGCCGCUGAUCCCGCUGUCUCCCCUCCUCCCUCUGCCCCUCUUCUGUGCUAAGCCUAGCCCAGUGUGGCCUCCACUGCCGUGGCCCUCUCCCCCUUCCCUCCCCCUUCUCAGUCAGUCACAGCGCAGGCCUUGUUCCGGAAGCAGCCUUGGUGUUCAGACCUUCACAUCCCCCUGGGUGUGUGCACACGGGUCAGUCGCGAGUGACGGCAGCUUGGGCCUGGGGGUCUGAGCUGCUAGGAUCAGUGGCCUCGGAGACACAGCACCCCUGCCACCCCCAGCCCCCUUCCCUCCUCCCUACUCCCCUGUGCCAAGCGGAGCGCUCUGCAGCUCCCCGGCGUCUGGGCGUGUUUGUGCGUGAGGCGAUCAGUGAGGGUGUCCUGUGGCUCGGGCGGCCACGUGAGAGAGAUGGGCACAAGUGCCGCGAAGGUGAGUACGCGCUGGUCUCAAGCAGGUUCACAAAAACGGCUCACCCUGCGUGCCCCCCUCCACCAGCCUGUGCCCUAGUAGCUCUAGGCCACACGGAGUCCAGAGCCCAAAUGGAGACACACACACACACACACCUCCCCCAGCUCCGCAAGCUUUCUACACCAUGGCCAAGAGCCACACCUGCCCAGAAGUGGGGAAGCUGGCACUGCGUGCCCCCAGUGCCUGUCCAUGGGUCUGUCACACCCUCCCCCACCUCCCCAAGAUGUCACGCAGGUUGGGCCGGAUUGUGAAGGAGGCGGCCUCCACGGUCGUCAAGAAAGCGGCUUUGGCCCAGCCACGUGAACCUCCGGGGCGGCCCAGGACAGGGAGUGGGGGAGAAGGUACUCCCCACUUCUCAUCCCAGGAUGGGUGGGGCCCGAGAGAACUGGCAGCAAGACCAGGGCCAGGCGUAUCCCCCUGGGGACGGCGGGCUUCUUAGGCUGAACUCAAGGGUAGGUGGAGGCCAGACCACUCAGCCGUGGGUCUCCCCACACCGUCUCACCUUCCCGCCUCGUCGGCGCCAGUCUGGAACUGCAGCGUGCCCACGCUGGGGGCCGGAGCAGGGCUUGGGCCCGCUUGCGUCCAGAGACCCACCCAGAGCUCGGUCUGGCCUUAUAGCUCAACACUCAGCCACUCCCUCCCUCGUAAGAAAGUCUUUUAAGUUAGCAGUUGAAGAGUGGAAGGUAGGUAACCAGACUGGGAGUUUUCUGGAAGGCGUCUUUCUUUCUUUUAUUAUGGUUUUUCUCAUCAUCAUCACCAUCACCGUUGUUUUUUAUUUUAUUAUGGUUUUGAUUUUAUUUUUCCUCCCCCUUUCUCUGCGAAUCCAUUCCUUCCGGCACAUUCUUUGGUUGGUUUUCCCACUCCUGCCUGAUUCCCCCAGGCACUUUUGGUUGGGGUGGCUGGUCAAGAAAUGGGAGAGAGGGCCCCGCUUGUCUGGUAUCAGAGGAGGGGAUGUCGGCAUUUCACUUUAAGUGAGGCCGGAGGGUCAUUCUGUUUGAAGUAAGCCGUUGGGAGAGGCCUCUGAGGUGUCUGGUAGUCUGAUAUGUUUGAUAGGAUAGGACCCUCUGUUUCUCCUCUGGUCGCCCUGGCAGGCAGUGUGCACGUACAAGUACUCUCUAGACAUGUGCUCACUGAACAAAUGGGCUGCCAUGGUAGUAGGGGUUCUGUGUGCCUUGACAUAGGCACUAUGUGUGACAUAGGCGACAUGUGUUCUGUGUGGCUUGCCUUGAAGCAAAGCCAGUGGCCUCCCUGGGCCUCUCUGCAGGCAAGAAAAAUUCCGGAGCCACGGGCAGUUGAAGUCACGUAGCUCCAGCCGUCCUCAGCUGGACUGAGGCUGAGGUCUCAGUCCCCAUUCUCAAGUCAAGACAGCCCCUGGACAGCUGAGCCUGGGUUCGAAUCCUGGCUCUAGCCGCAUGCCCUUGGCAAGGCAGCUUUGCUGUUUCUAGCCUCCGUUUUCUUCCUCUGUGAAGUGGGAGGUGAUAUGUGAAAAGCACCCAGGGUAGGUGGGGUCUGGCACCCAGUAGGUCUACAAGCGGUGAUCAUAGAAGACCAGGCAGCUGGGCUUUGAAAUUAAUUUCCCUGCGGGUAAGAUGGAGUGAGGCUGGAGGGAUGAUAGUUCUGGCCAUUUAUGCAUCUUAAGAAUUAAAUGACGUUCCAUGAGGGGACACAUGCUGAGUGUAAAGGGCUAGGUUAUGGGGUGUGCACAGGGUAAAUGGCCUUAAUACAGUCUCCUAGUAGGUGCGGAGCAGAUGGGGGCUUAAUGUUCUUUUCAUAAAGCCCCCGAACACGCCCAGUAGGUGCUUAAUAUGUGUGAACUAUCGCUGCUAUUUAACAAAGCCCUUAGCACACUUCUUGGCACACAUUAGGUGCUUCAUAAAUGCUCUUUUAAUUCUAAGCACGGAUUGGCAUGGUGCUGAGCACAUAAUUGGCGUGCAAUGAACGGAUGCCAUCAGUUGUUUAUAACAAGCUUCCCUGGUGCCCAGAACCGGGGGCUGCGGUUGUUCUGUGAAGCCUUUGACAGAACAGCUGGUAUACAGUAAUGCUCAGUAGGUGGUGCUUUCUUAAAGGAGGUUGGCCUGGCUUUAGGCACAUGGUAGUUGCUCAGAUAAGAGCCGUUGUCUCUGAGGAGGCCUAGCAUGGUUUCAGGUACACAGCCUUUGGCCCUGGGUGUGCAAACAGUAGGUGCCCAAGAAGUGAAAACUGUUACUGUUUACAUAGAAGGCCCUUAGCACAGUCCUCGGCACAGAGUAGGUGCUUAAGCGAGGACUAUCGAUGUGCUACAAGGCCCUUAGCACAGGGCCUAGCACAUGGUAGGUGUUCGGUAGGUAGGGGCUUUUCUCAGUAAGGCCUGUAGCACAGGGCCUGGCACGUAGUAGGUCCUCAUUCCAUGGGGACUACUGCUGUUAACUGAUAAAGUGCCUGGUGUGGAGAGGUUCUGUGUAAAUGGCAACUGGUGUUUUUAUCUUCAAAGGGCUAGCAAUGCCCAGCCCAUAGUAGGUCCUCAAUAAAUAAGACUUGGCCAUUAAUCUGUGAUGGCCAUAGUGUGGUGCUGGAAGAACAAUGAUCUGUAAAGACCUUGGCACACAGUAGGUGCUCAAAACACAGACAUGAUUUUGUCUCCCAGGUGAGGCUGAGAGGGUGGUCCUAGCUGAAGUAAGCCAUGGGGUGGCCUCCAGGACCCCUGAGAGAACAGGUGUCCAGUACACAGAUGCUUUUACUGUCAACCUGCAAAGCUCUGACACUGUGUCUGGCACACAGUAGGUGCCCAAUAAAUGGGACUUUUGCUGCUUUUACCCUGGCAGUCCUACUCCCCUGGCGCACAGUAGGUGUUCAGCAAAUAAAUGCAUUUACUGUUAUCCUGUAAAGCUCAGUGCCAUGCCUAGCACACAGUAGGUGCCUGAUAGAUGGGGCUUUUCGUGUAAUUACCUGGCAUGGUGCCUGGCACAUAGUAGGGGUUCAGUAAACGGAUGCUUCUACUGUUAGUCCGUGACACCCCCGGCACCGUGCUGAGCUCACGAUAGCUCUCCUAAAGGGGGAUGUUCCCACUGUUCCCCAGGCCCCGCUGCGUGCCGGGCAGGUGCAGCCCCCGGCGCUGAGCCCGUGUUCUUGGCCAGCCCUCCCGGCCCCCAUCCCCACCCGUCCAUCUCACCUUUGGUUGACACCCGCUUUUUUUGGGUUCGACUUCUCUUUGGUUUGGUUCUGUUUUGUUUGUUAUCAUCUUCUGUUUUAUUUUCUCUUUCCCAUCUUUUGUUUCCCCGUCCCCUCCCCGCCCAUCCCGCCUCCCCUCCCCACCCCCACGUUCU